rnacentral:rRNA from 1 species
ACGCUCGACACCUACGGGGGGCAGCAGUGGGGGAUAUUGCACAAUGGGGGAAACCCUGAUGCAGCGACGCCGCGUGAGGGAAGAAGGUUUUCGGAUUGUAAACCUCUGUCCUCAGUGACGAUAAUGACGGUAGCUGAGGAGGAAGCCACGGCUAACUACGUGCCAGCAGCCACGGUAAUCUGAGCGGGCUGGCAAGGC